UACAGAGGUCUCAAGCGUUGUUCGGAUUCAUUGGGCGUAAAGGGUGCGUAGGCGGCGCGGUAAGUCGGGUGUGAAAUCUCGGAGCUUAACUCCGAAACUGCAUUCGAUACUGCCGUGCUUGAGGACUGGAGAGGAGACUGGAAUUUACGGUGUAGCGGUGAAAUGCGUAGAUAAUCGUAAGGAAGACCAGUGGCGAAGGCGGGU
rnacentral:rRNA from 1 species